GACGAGGGAUCCUAGCGUUGUUCGGAAUCAUUGGGCGUAAAGCGGAUGUAGGUGGCCUUGUAAGUCAGGUGUGAAAGCCCAGAGCUCAACUCUGGAAGUGCAUUUGAUACUGCGGAGGCUUGAGUGUGGAAGAGGUAAGUAGAAUACCUGGUGUAGUGGUGAAAUACGUAGAUAUCUGGAGGAACACCGGUGGCGAAGGCGGCAUCCUGGACCGGCAUUGACGCUGAGGCGCGAAAGCCAGGGGAGCAAACGGG
rnacentral:rRNA from 1 species